rnacentral:rRNA from 1 species
AGUGAACGCUGGCGGUAGGCCUAACACAUGCAAGUCGAACGGCAGCACAGUAAGAGCUUGCUCUUACGGGUGGCGAGUGGCGGACGGGUGAGGAAUACAUCGGAAUCUACUUUUUCGUGGGGGAUAACGUAGGGAAACUUACGCUAAUACCGCAUACGACCUACGGGUGAAAGCAGGGGAUCUUCGGGCCUUGCGCGAUUGAAUGAGCCGAUGUCGGAUUAGCUAGUUGGCGGGGUAAAGGCCCACCAAGGCGACGAUCCGUAGCUGGUCUGAGAGGAUGAUCAGCCACACUGGAACUGAGACACGGUCCAGACUCCUACGGGAGGCAGCAGUGGGGAAUAUUGGACAAAGGGCGCAAGCCUGAUCCAGCCAUACCGCGUGGGUGAAGAAGGCCUUCGGGUUGUAAAGCCCUUUUGUUGGGAAAGAAAAGCAGCAGGUUAAUACCCCGCCGUUCUGACGGUACCCAAAGAAUAAGCACCGGCUAACUUCGUG